UGGCGUCUGGUGGACACUGCAUCAUUGUCCCUGGUCCCUGACAACCCCUGUGGCUGAGUCACUGGAAGGCAGGAGACCGCCCUAGUCUUGUAUACUACGAAAUCUUUUUCAUUUAGAUUCCUAAAACAAAUAGACUGGUUUAAAGCCAUGCGUGCUUCCUAAGCUGCCUCUUCCCUGUAUCCCUUCACACUUCUGCAUAGAUGACCCUCGAAAGCCCCAAAUCUACUGGCUAGGAAGAUGGCUCAGCUGGUAAAGUGGGUAAAGUGUCUGUCGCACAAGCGUGAGGACCAGAGUUCGGGUCUCCAUCACUCAUACAAAAGCCAGGAAUAGGUGUUCUUGCCUAUGGUUCAGGGCUGACUCCUGCCUGUAAAUUGGAUGAGGAAGGCUUGCCAGAAGACAAGGAGCAACCACUCACCACAGACUGGGAUGGUAUAUCCCCCCUGGUACCGUCUUUCCAGGUGAAUGAGGUCAGAGAUCAAAACCACCUUUUGAAGCUAAAAAAGAGUUCUCCAGUCCCCUGACUUCCUGGCAGGCACCCAUAUUUAGGCAGUGGCCAGUCCAAACAGUUGAACCCAGGCCUCAGACCAUUGGGGCCAGCGCCUUGCCCUGCUUAGCAUGAGCAGGAAGCCCAGAGGCUUCUUCUUUCUUACAGCAUAGGCAUCCUCAGAUUGAGCUAUUUUUUCCCCCACACAGUAUCUCAUGUAGCCCAGGCUGGCCUUAAACUUACAGUAUAGCUGAGGUUAACCUUGAACUCCUGAUCCUCCUUCCGCUACCUCUUGAGUCCCAGGAUUAUAGACAUGUAUAACCAUGUCUGGUUUAUGUGGAUUGAACCAGGACUUCUUGAGUGCUGGACAAGCACUGAGCUACCUCACAGUGAAUGCUGAGCUUUCUCCCCUGAUCUCAUCCCACAUAACUCUCCUCCCCUCAACGUCCCCCGGGAAUGCAACAAACAAACUGCUCUAGAAGCCCAAGUCCGAUAUGGUGUAUCUAAAGUGACCCCUACCACCACCACCCUACCCCAGGCUUGUUGAGCAAAGAUACAGCUCUCACCUCACAGGGAAUAAGAGAUGGUUUAUUCUUGAGCCAAGUAGGAGUGACCAUGGCUUAAGAACAUGGAUUUGAGUUUUCCCAAAUAAUGUCCUCCCAUGUGGAAAAGGCUUCAUUAAGUUUUUAUAGUCACGGAGCAAAGAAAGUCACAAACUGAGGCAUCUUUUAAACACACUGGUGGAAAUACCAGGUAGGCUAGGGUAUUAGUUACUUUUUUGUUGCUGUUGCUGUGUGUGGUCAAAUACCCGAUGAGAAGCAUCUUCAGGGAGGAGGGUCAGGGUAGGAACUGCUUGCCAACUUGCUCAUGGGCUCUGGCUUAGCUAGCUUUUUAUUACAGCCCAGUACUACCUCUCAGGGAAUGGUGCUGUCCACAGGGGGCUGGGCCCCCCUAUAUCAACUAACCAUUGAGACGACCCCACAGACAUGCCCACAGGCAAAUUUGAUCUAGGCCUUUUGAUCACUCGGUUCAGACCCCUUCUCAAGUGACUCUAGGCUGCAUCAAGUUGACAGUUAAAGCUAAUUAGGGCGGGAUGCAUCAUGGAGGGGUAGGCAUAGGUGGCAGGCAGCUCCAGGUUACAGGGACCUGCCGCUGAGACUGCUCCGUUCAUUUUGUGGCAGACAGGAAAUAGAAAUCGGGCUGGAAGAGGGCCAGGCUGUAUGACCUGAGGAUGUGUUCCUAAGGUCCUCCUGAGUGCUGGGAUUAAAGGAGUGUACCACCACCA